rnacentral:tRNA from 1 species
GGUUAUUUAGCUUAUAUAAAAGUUUAUAUUUUGAAAGUAUAAGAAAGAGAAAUUUAAUGACUU